GAGCCGAGCCGUGAGCCGAGGCCAAGCCGAGCCGAGCCGAGAGUGAGCCGAGCCGAGCCGAGCCACCUAAGCCUUCCUCCCUCCACUUCGGGUCACGGUAGUAAGGAGUUGACGCUUAAGUUCUCGGAUCUCGCGGCAGGCUUGUUUGGAGAUAGCUUUCCUUUCCUUGGGUUGAUCCGUUGAGCGUGGAUUCGAUCGAGGGGCAUAACCGAGUAUUCAAAUUGGGAUUUUAUGUUGAUGGACCUUGAAGUUACGGUUCAGUAUGUAGUAAUCAUUGGUCUGGAUGUUGAUCAUGGAGUUUGGACGGGGAAGGACAGUGAG